rnacentral:rRNA from 1 species
GAUGAACGCUGGCGGCGUGCCUAAUACAUGCAAGUCGAGCGAACGGACGAGAAGCUUGCUUCUCUGAUGUUAGCGGCGGACGGGUGAGUAACACGUGGAUACCCUACCUAUAAGACUGGGAUAACUUCGGGAAACCGGAGCUAAUACCGGAUAAUAUUUUGAACCGCAUGGUUCAAAAGUGAAAGACGGUCUUGCUGUCACUUAUAGACGGAUCCGCGCUGCAUUAGCUAGUUGGUAAGGUAACGGCUUACCAAGGCAACGAUGCAUAGCCGACCUGGGAGGGUGAUCGGCCACACGGGAACUGAGACACGGUCCAGACUCCUACGGGAGGCAGCAGUAGGGAAUCUUCCGCAAUGGGCGAAAGCCUGACGGAGCAACGCCGCGUGAGUGAUGAAGGUCUUCGGAUCGUAAAACUCUGUUAUUAGGGAAGAACAUAUGUGUAAGUAACUGUGCACAUCUUGACGGUACCUAAUCAGAAAGCCACGGCUAACUACGUG